rnacentral:rRNA from 1 species
UUGGGAAUAUUGCGCAAUGGACGAAAGUCUGACGCAGCAACGCCGCGUGCAGGAGGAAGGCCUUCGGGUUGUAAACUGCUUUUAUCUGUGACGAUUAUGACGGUAGCAGAAGAAUAAGGAUCGGCUAACUCCGUGCCAGCAGCCGCGGUCAUACGGAGGAUCCAAGCGUUAUCCGGAAUUACUGGGCGUAAAGAGUUGCGUAGGUGGCAUAGAAAGCGAAUAGUGAAAGGCUACGGCUCAACCGUGGAUACAUUGUUCGAACUUCUAAGCUAGAGCAUAGUAGAGGUACCUGGAAUUCCCAGUGUAGGAGUGAAAUCCGUAGAUAUUGGGAGGAACACCGAUGGCGUAGGCAGGGUACUGGGCUAUUGCUGACACUAAGGCACGAAAGCGUGGGGAGCGAACGGGAUUAGAUACCCCCGUAGUCC